AAACCAACAGGGAUUGCCUUAGUAACGGCGAGUGAACAGGCAAGAGCUCAGAUUUGAAAGCCUUUCGGGGCAUUGUAUUCUGAAGCCUUGAUUCUGAGAACCGGUACCUAAGUCUUCUGGAAAGGAGCGCCAAGGAGGGUGAUAGCCCCGUACGGUACUGACCUCAUUGUAGAAUCUUGGCGUGGAGUCGAGUUGUUUGGGAAUGCAGCUCAAAUGGGUGGUAUGCUCCAUCUAAAGCUAAAUAUCUGCGAGAGACCGAUAGCGAACAAGUACUGUGAAGGAAAGAUGAAAAGAACUUUGAAAAGAGAGUGAAAAAGUACGUGAAAUUGUUGAAAUGGAAGGAUAGGCCGCUAACCACGUAGAGCCGUGUCUGAGGGGAGGAUAAAAGCUGUAGAAUGUGGCUCUUCGGAGUGUUAUAGCUGCAGUGCAUACUCCCACUCGGCGCGAGACUAAGACCUAAGGUCUGCUAAAUGGUGGGCUAUCAC
rnacentral:rRNA from 1 species